UACGGAGGGGGGCUAGCGUUAUUCGGAAUUAUUGGGCGUAAAGGGCGUGUAGGCGGCUUCGUGUGUCUUAUGUGAAAGCCCUCGGCUCAACCGGGGAAUUGCAUGGGAAACUGCGGAGCUUGAGUCCGGGAGAGGAGAGUGGAAUUCCCAGUGUAGCGGUGAAAUGCGUAGAUAUUGGGAGGAACACCAGUGGCGAAGGCGGCUCUCUGGACCGGUACUGACGCUGAGACGCGAAAGCCAGGGGAGCAAACGGG
rnacentral:rRNA from 1 species